rnacentral:misc_RNA from 1 species
GCUCCGAUCACACCAAAUCCCUUCAACAGCAGUGCUCGAGCAUCUUCAGAUUCUUUGUUGUAAUCUGGGGAGGAAGAGUUUUCCAGGUAAUGGAUACAUCUGAAGGUGGAAAUGAUUGUGAAAGGCGGGACAAAUGGGGAUCCAAUCAGCCAUUGGAGGGGAGGCCCGGUUCCUUUGUGUUGAUAAGUAGCUUAGGGCGCAGAACUGUUACGGUUGCGUCCUGGGAUGCCUUCUCCAUGACUUGUCC